GAUGAACGCUGGCGGCGUGCCUAAUACAUGCAAGUCGAGCGAACAGACGAGGAUCUUGCUCCUCUGACGUUAGCGGCGGACGGGUGAGUAACACGUGGAUAACCUACCUAUAAGACUUGGAUAACUUCGGGAAACCGGAGCUAAUACCGGGUAAUAUAUUGAACCGCAUGGUUCAAUAGUGAAAGACGGUUUUGCUGUCACUUAUAGAUGGAUCCGCGCCGCAUUAGCGAGUUGGUAAGGUAACGGCUUACCAAGGAAACGAUGCGUAGCCGAGCUGAGAGGGUGAUCGGGCACACAGGAACUGAGAGACGAUACAGACUCCUACGGGAGGCAGAAGUAGGGACUCUUCCGCAAUGGGCGAAAUCCUGAAGGAGCAACGCCGCGUGAGUGAUGAAGGUCUUCGGAUCGUAAAACUCUGUUAUUAGGGAAGAACAAAUGUGUAAGUAACUAUGCACGUCUUGACGGUACCUAAUCAGAAAGCCACGGCUAACUACGUG
rnacentral:rRNA from 1 species